rnacentral:rRNA from 1 species
CCCUUAGAUGUUCUGGGCCGCACGCGCGCUACACUGAUGCAUUCAACGAGCCUAUCCUUGACCGACAGGUCCGGGUAAUCUUUGAAUCUGCAUCGUGACGGGGAUAGAUGAUUGCAAUUAUUAAUCUUCAACGAGGAAUGCCUAGUAGGCGCAAGUCAUCAGCUUGCGUCGAUUACGUCCCUGCCCUUUGUACACACCGCCCGUCGCUCCUACCGAUUGGGUGUGCUGGUGAAAUGUUCGGAUCGGCCGUUUGUCGCGGUUUCCGCGUCAUGUGGCUGAGAAGUUCAUUAAACCCUCCCACCUAGAGGAAGGAGAAGUCGUAACA